UGCGCUCUGCCUCUGCCACAGAUGUGUCGGUGCAGAUGCGAAUCCUCUUUGCAAACAAACUGAAGAUUAUUUCAAGAGCCAGUCUAAUGAGUAGUGAAUAUGGGCUGAUUACUGUAUUUGCAAAGAACCUUAUUUUAUCCAACAUUGUGUUAAAGACCAGCCUGGUGUUUCCCCAAAGGCUUAUAAAUGUGUAGUCAAUUUGAUUCCUGUGUAUUCCAUCUCUCGAUGUAAAAGGAAGACUGAAGAAGUAUUGAUACAUUUGAAUUAUGGUCUUGGUGAACAGCAUUAAAUAUACAAUGGAUUGCCAGAAGAGUGAAACAAAUCCUUGUGGAAGGAAGUACAGCCAGAAUGCUCCUUAGAAGUGAGGAUGGUGAGACUUCAUUUCAGAUACUUAAGACACAUUGUCAGGAGGGACCAAUUCCUGGAGAAGGACAUCAUGCUUGGUAAAGUAGAGGGUCAGCAAAAAAAGGAAGACCUUCAGUGAGAUGGAUUGACACCUUGGCUGCAACAAUGGGCUCAAACAUAGCAACAAUUGUGAGAAUGGCGCAGGGCCAGGCAACAUUUCAUUCUGUUAUACAUAGGGUUGUUAUGAGUCGGAGCCAGCUUCAGUCCACCUAAAAGCAACAACAACAUCCCAUGAACAUGGUAUAUUUACCCAUGUAUAUUAAUAUUUUAAGUUUUAUUCAGGUACGCAUUGUUUUUGUUUUUAAAUUUUUCAGUGUAGAGAGCUUUCAUAUUUUUAUUAAACUUAUUAGGUAUUUGAUAUUUAUGCUAUUGUUGAUGGUAUUUUUUUAAUUUUAUUUUUCAAAUGUUUGUGACAUAUAUAAUAAACUUAUAUACUGAUUCCAGCAAACUUGCUAAAUCCAUUUAGUAAUUUUAAUAGUUUGUUAGUAGUUUUUUUAAAAAAUAAUUCUUGUGUUUAAUACAGCAUCUGUAUAUAAAGCCACUUUUAUUUCAUUCUUUCCAGUCUUUGUACCUUUUCUUUUCCAUAUCUCAUUGCAUGGAUCUAUGAUUUCCUGUACAAUGAAGAGUAGAAAAGGGGAUAGUAGACAUUGUUACCUUUUUCUCACAUCAGUAGAAAUGUAUUCAAUACUUAAUCAUUAAGUAGUUUGUUAUAAACCCAUGGCCAUUGAGUGGAUUCUGACUGAUAGCAACCCUAUAGGACAGAGUAGAACUGCCCCAUAGAGUUUCCAAGGAGUGGCUGGUGGAUUCACACUGCCAACCUUUUGGUUAGCAGCUGAAUGCUUAACCAGUAUGCCACCAGGGCUCCAAAUAGUUAGAUAGCUAUAGGGUACUUUAGAAACAUAAUCAGAUUAAAGAGGUUGCAUUUUUUCAUAGUUUUUAUAAUCCCAAAUUAUUACUAAAUGCUACCAAAUGUUCUUGAAUUAUCCACUAAGAUAAUCAUAUGUUUUUUUCUCCUUUAUUCUAUUCUGUUAAGCCAACCUUGAAUUUCUGGAAUAAAUUCUUCUGUUAUAGUUCAUUAUUUUUUGUAUGUAUUGCUGAAUUGUGUUUUAUUUCUUAUUUAUAAUUUUUAUGUGUAUGUUCACAAGAGAUUUGUUCUGUGAUUUUCUUCUCAUGUAACAUUACUUUCAAGUUUUUAUAUCAGUGUUUUGUUGGCCUAUGAGUGAGCAAGAACUGCCUGUUUCUCUGUCGUAUUAAAUAUAUUGUGUAAGAUUAAUACUCAUUUUUUUUUUCUUAAAUAUCUAGACGAAUUCACCGUUGAAGUCAUUUAGGCCGGAAUUUUCUUUGGGCCAAGAAUUUUAAUUGUAGAUAAAGCUUCUGUAUAUAGUGUCAUUCAUAUUUUCUACUUCUUCUUAUUCUUAAGUCAGUUUUGGUAAAUGGAAUUUUUGAGAGACUUUAUCCAUUUUUAAAAUUUUUUUUUUUCAAUUUUAUUGGCAUAAAGUCACCUUAAUAUCUUAUCUUUUUAUUAAUUCAUAGGUUCUGUAGGUGUGUGAUGAUAUUCAAUUUUCUUUCUUGAUUUUAGUAUUUUGUGUUUUCUCUUUUUUCUGAUCAGUGUUGCUAGGGAUUUAUACAUUCUAUUGAUCUUUUCAAAGAUUCACCUUUUGUCUUUGUUGAUUUUCUUUACUUCUAUUUUUGAUUUUACUGCUUUUUUGCUCUAAAAUUAAAGAAAAUAUUAGUUUUUGCUGUAAGCUUAGAACAAAAGUAAAUACAAUCAAAAGUAGAAAUAUCCUCUUCAUAUCAGUAUUUUGCCUUUUUUUCCAGUAACAAUAAUAUAUAUAUAUUAUAAAAAAAAAAAAAAAGAGGGUAAUAA